rnacentral:rRNA from 1 species
GGGUUUUCGGGUUUUCCUGAAGGAGGACCCCGGGGCUAUUCUUUUUUGGGGGGAAAGGCCCCACCAAGGCCGGAUGAAAUGCGCCCUGGAGGGGUUUCGCCCCCCGGGAAUUAAACCCGGCCCAAAUUCUUUGGGGAGGCAGCAGAAGGGAAUUUUCGGCAAUGGAGGAAAUUUUGACCGACAACGCCGGGGGAGGGAAGAAGGUUUUCGGUUCGUAAAACUUCGUUGUUAGGGAAGAACAAGGACGUUAGUAACUGAACGUCCCCUGACGGUUUCUAACCAGAAAGCCACGGCUAACUACGUGCCAGCAGCCGCGGUAAUACGUAGGUGGCAAGCGUUGUCCGGAUUUAUUGGGCGUAAAGCGAGCGCAGGCGGUUUCCUAAGUCCGAUGUGAAAGCCCCCGGCUCAACCGGGGAGGGUCAUUGGAAACUGGGAGACUUGAGUGCAGAAGAGGAGAGUGGAAUUCCAUGUGUAGCGGUGAAAUGCGUAGAUAUAUGGAGGAACACCAGUGGCGAAGGCGGCUCUCUGGUCUGUAACUGACGCUGAGGCUCGAAAGCGUGGGGAGCAAACAGGAUUAGAUACCCUGGUAGUCCACGCCGUAAACGAUGAGUGCUAAGUGUUGGAGGGUUUCCGCCCUUCAGUGCUGCAGCAAACGCAUUAAGCACUCCGCCUGGGGAGUACGACCGCAAGGUUGAAACUCAAAGGAAUUGACGGGGGCCCGCACAAGCGGUGGAGCAUGUGGUUUAAUUCGAAGCAACGCGAAGAACCUUACCAGGUCUUGACAUCCUUUGACCACUCUAGAGAUAGAGCUUUCCCUUCGGGGACAAAGUGACAGGUGGUGCAUGGUUGUCGUCAGCUCGUGUCGUGAGAUGUUGGGUUAAGUCCCGCAACGAGCGCAACCCUUAUUGUUAGUUGCCAUCAUUUAGUUGGGCACUCUAGCGAGACUGCCGGUGACAAACCGGAGGAAGGUGGGGAUGACGUCAAAUCAUCAUGCCCCUUAUGACCUGGGCUACACACGUGCUACAAUGGGAAGUACAACGAGUCGCUAGACCGCGAGGUCAUGCAAAUCUCUUAAAGCUUCUCUCAGUUCGGAUUGCAGGCUGCAACUCGCCUGCAUGAAGCCGGAAUCGCUAGUAAUCGCGGAUCAGCACGCCGCGGUGAAUACGUUCCCGGGCCUUGUACACACCGCCCGUCACACCACGAGAGUUUGUAACACCCGAAAGUCGGGUUGAGGUAACCCUUUUUGGAA